rnacentral:rRNA from 1 species
UUGGAGGGCAAGUCUGGUGCCAGCAGCCGCGGUAAUUCCAGCUCCAAUAGCGUAUAUUAAAGUUGUUGCAGUUAAAAAGCUCGUAGUUGAAUUUCGGGAUUAGCAGGUCGGUCGUGCCACUGGUACGUACUGGUCUUGCUGAUUCCUCCCUCUUGACGAGCCGUAAUGCCAUUAAUUUGGUGUUGCGGGGAAUCAGGACUGUUACUUUGAAAAAAUUAGAGUGUUUAAAGCAGGCAUGCGCUUGAAUACAUUAGCAUGGAAUAAUGAAAUAGGACGUUCGAUCUUAUUUUGUUGGUUUCUAGGAUUGACGUAAUGAUUAAUAGGGAUAGUUGGGGGCAUUAGUAUUCAAUUGUCAGAGGUGGAAUUCUUGGAUUUAUUGAAGACUAACUACCGCGAAAGCAUUUGCCAAGGAUGUUUUCAUUAAUCAAGAACGAAAGUUAGGGGAUCGAAGACGAUCAGAUACCGUCGUAGUCUUAACCAUAAACUAUGCCGACUAGGGAUCGGAUGAUGAUAAUUUUUUAAUGACUCAUUCGGCGCCUUACGGGAAAC